AAGAGCCGCAGUACACUGACUGUGCAAAGGUAGCAAAAUAAUUUGUUUCUUAAAUAGAGACUAGAAUGAAUGGUCUGACGAGGAAAUAACUGUCUCCAAAUUUAAAUAAAAAUUAACAUACAAGUCAAAAGGCUUGUAUAUUUUAGCAAGACGACAAGACCCUAUAAAACUUAACCCUUUACUAAAACCCUAAGAGACAUUUUAUAGACCCCAAAGGGUUUAACUGGGGCGGUAUUCAUAUAAUAUGUAACUAUGCAACCAUUACCAUAUAUAAAUGAAUAAAUAAAUCUUAAUUUAAACAUAAAAAAAAGUUACUUUAGGGAUAACAGCAUAAUACUCUUUAAGAGACCUUAUCGACAAGAGUGAUUAUGACCUCGAUGUUGAAUUGGGAAACCCUCUAAAAGC
rnacentral:rRNA from 1 species